AACGCACAUUGCGCCCCUCGGUAUUCCGGGGGGCAUGCCUGUUCGAGCGUCAUUGCACCCUCAAGCGCUAGCUUGGUAUUGGGCCCUCGCCUCCCCCGGCGUGCCCUGAGAAGCAUUGGCGGUGCCCGCGGUGGCUUUCAAGCGUAGUAAUACUUCUCGCUUUGGAGUCCGGGCGAGCGUCCUGCCAAAACCCCCAUAUUUUUUCAGGUUGACCUCGGAUCAGGUAGGGAUACCCGCUGAACUUAA
rnacentral:misc_RNA from 1 species